rnacentral:tRNA from 1 species
GCUCCAGUAGCUCAGCUUGGAUAGAGCGACUGCCUCCUAAGCAGUAGGUCGAGGGUUCAAAUCCCUUCUGGGGCGC